UACGUAGGGGGCAAGCGUUGUCCGGAUUUAUUGGGCGUAAAGAGCGUGUAGGCGGCUUGGAAGGUCAGCUGUGAAAACUCGAGGCUCAACCUCGAGACGUCGGUUGAAACCACCUGGCUAGAGUCCGGAAGAGGAGAGUGGAAUUCCCGGUGUAGCGGUGAAAUGCGCAGAUAUCGGGGAAGAACACCCGUGGCGAAGGCGGCUCUCUGGGACGGUACUGACGCGUGACGACGCGAAAGCGUGGGGAGCGAACGAGG
rnacentral:rRNA from 1 species